rnacentral:lncRNA from 1 species
AAAUUGAAAACAGAACUAAAAAACUCAUGUUUCAUUGGGUAUAAUAUAUUGCAUAAAAUUAAAGAGGGUAGGGGUAGAUACUAUAGUUAAACAAUCACCAUCGCCAUGACCAUUGUUGGUUUAGAUUAAUCACAUCACAUAAUAUUGCAACUGGAAGUGUUCUCAUCACUGAAAGCAUGUGAGUAAGGAUCUGGAGGAGGAUAAGGGUAAGGAGGAUAUAUGUAAUUCACCGCAGGAGGUGGCCUUGCGUACAUCAUUGGCUGCUGAAAUCUUUGAUCAUUUUCCACCAUUGCAGCACGUUGUUGAUUCAUCAUUGCAGCAGCCAUUAAUUGUUGCUGUUGUUGUUGCUGCUGAUGUUGCUGUUGUUGUUGUUGAUAAGGAUUGCCCGACAUCAUUUCCGCGCCUGGACCACCACCACCUUGAAAGUAUCCUCCGCCAGCCGGUAGACCUUGAACAGCAGGAAUGUUACCACCCAUUUGGUUCAUUGGCAUACUCAUUGGUCCCACAUUAUUACCUCCACCAUCCAUAGCAGGGUGAGGAUGACCACCUCCGCCACCCAUCAUUUUUUGAAAUCCAUUGUUCAUAGCUUGAACAUUACCACCACCACCAGCAACUGGUAUCGACAUACCCUUUUUACCCCCAUUGUUAUUUUGAUUAUUACUAUUAUGAUUCCCUCCAUUCUUGUUUCCUCCACCACCACCAUUUUUAGCCUCCUGCAAACCACCACUAUUUUUGUUACCUCCACCAUGAUUCUGAUUAUUUCCUCCACCACCACCGCCACCUUUCUUUCCUCCAUUGCCAUUUCCGCCAUUCAUUUGAACCGGCACAGGUCCACCACCGCCACUUUUCUUUCCUCCAUUGCCAUUUCCACCAUUCAUGCCAUGAAUUUGAACCGGAACAGGUCCUCCACCACCAGGUUUCUGCCCGUUUCCGCCACCACCGCCGCCGUUAAAAUUGCCACCCUUCAUAGCAGUCAAAAGCUGUGGAUGAUUACCAUUCAACAUCAUGUGAGCACCAUUCCCCAUAGGCAUAGAAGGGGGUUUCAUCUUAUUAGGUGGCAACCCAACCAUUUCAUCAUCAAACUCAUCAUCAAAAUCUUCAUCAUCAUCUUCGUCGUCAUCAAAAUCAUCCAUUUCAUCAUCACUAAAAUCAUCCUCAUCUUCAGGCACAUCAAAUUUAACACCUUUAGCAUUCUGAUUCGGCGGCAUCUUCAUGCCUUUAAAUUGUGCUAGAUCUUGAAACCCUUUCAUCUGUUGAAGUUGUUGUAACUGUUGUUGAAGCUGAAGUUGCUGCUGCUGCUGAGGAUUUAGUCCUUGUAGUUGUAUUUGUUGACCACCUUUGGGCUGGUUAUUGUUUCCACUACCCUUCUGGUUUUGAUUCUGACCCUUGUUGUUGUUAUUUCCACCACCUUUGCCAUUAUCAAUUUGCAUGUUCUUUAACUGAUUAACAAGGUUGUUCUGAUUAUUAUUGUUGUUGUUGUUUGGUUUGGGAACACUCCAUAACUGAGCAUGUUUCCCAGAUUUUGCAAGCUUCUUGAUGAGAACAUUUGGGUCCACAUUCCCUGAAACUGUGACCUUCCCUUGUUCUGCAUCUAUCUCAGUUGUAAAUACUCCUGUCAUUACAAAACCCAUAUUCAACAUUUACUCUCAAAAUUAAGGCACUGUUUUGGAUAGUAAUAGUAAUAAUUGAAAGCUAUAAUUAAGGUUCUGUAAAUAAAUCACAAUAAUAUUAAGUGCAUACAAACAUACCAUCAAUUUUCUGUAAGAUUUUCUUUACUUUAUGUUUACAUCCAUCACAGUGUAUGUUCACUUUUAGAACAGAUUUCUGCAUAUAUACACAGAAAAUUAGGAUAAGUAAUAAAUAAUAUAUGAGACAAAACAAAAUUUAGAAAUGUACAAAACAUAAAAGCAAAAAAAAAAUAAAGAAAGAUGGAGAAUGUGAUGGGAGUGAGUACCUGUAUCUUCAAAAAUUCUUCUUUACUCAUGACCAAUAGGAAUAAAGUUUGUAACUUGUGAUAAAUAAAGAUCUGGGCUAUAGAGAAAAAUGGUGAUUAUAGAUCUGAGGAAACGAAAGGAAAAUGGAGUUUUUUUUCUUUCUUGUUUGGUGUAGUUUUAUUUGGUUUUAGAAUGGAAAUGAAAUGAAAAUAGAAGCAAAAUGAGAGAAAUAAAUGGUUUAGAAGAGUCUCUGAGAAGAGACAGGAAAUAUAACAAGCAAGUUUCAGAGUUGGGAAGAGAGAGAAUGGUGAGUAGUACUUGUAGUCAUUGAGAGAGAAUGGGGUAAUGUUGAUAGAGACAGAGAUAACCCCGAGUGUGUUUAGUGAGAGAGAACAGAGUAAGAGAGAGAGACCGAGAAUGACGCCGGUGGCCGCCGUCGCCGGUGAGAUCUCAGAGAGAGAGAGAGAGAGAGAGAGAGAGAGAGAGGGACGGAGUGAAUGAGAAAUACAGGAAAGGUAAAAACGGAAGAAGAAAAAAAGAGCGAGGGGGCAUACAGCAGUUUCUAUACGAGUGUGUGGCUUAUGAGAAAAACAACAUGAAAAAAUGUAAAGAAUUAACAACAAAAAAAAAUAGAAAUAAUAAUUUGUAUUAAGAACCAUAUCUAUCUAUAGUUGAUUAACAAUAAAAAAAAAUAUCCCUGUGAAUUUAGCUCAAUUAGCAGAAUAUUGUAUAAUUUAUGGAAAAAACAAUAAAAAAAAAUGGAUUUACAAAAGAAGAGAUGUUGAUAAGUAGCUUAUGAGAAAUAUGGAGCAAAAAUUAUUGUUUUAGUUUAGGUUUAAACACUUUUAGAAAAAGAUUUAAGAAUAAUGGUAAAAGAGAUUACAAUUUACAAUUAAUAUAUAUGGAGUAGAUGGUAAAUGAGUAUUUUUGUCGGGUGUCAACUUAGUUGAGACGUUAUGGCCGUUAAUUUACAUCUAUUUAAAAACACGUGUCAAUUAGCAAGUUACAUUCAGCUAAAAUCAUUAAAGUGUAAGUUAGAAAUCUAUCCUCAUUUAAUUAUUUACAUUUAUUUUUAUAAUUAUAUAGGCUCAAACACAAAUUCAUAAAUGUGAGUAUUUUAUUUUGUCAAUUAUGUGUAUUAUUACAGGUGCACAACGGAGCUGAGUCUAAUUAUCAUCAUUAUAUUAUGAUUUUUUUUUUGUUAAAUAAUCUGAUGGUUAGAGCUCACAUUUUAAAUUUAUUUAUUGGUGUAUUUUAUAACGGAAAUAACUUCAUUGUGUAUAAUUUUUUAGUGUAACUUCUCAACAAUUUAGCCGUGGCCAUGUGACUUCAUUUGGCUUAGCUAAGAAUCCACGUUAAUUUAACCCUAUUUUCCUUCUCUUGUUCUAUUUUUGUUGUCUUAGCUUGACUUGAAGACCGUGAGGUGGGAAUGCUAAAAAAUCAUCAUAAAUCACAAUGAUACAAGAGUGGAGAGAGAAUGUGUGAGAAGAAGUGCUAGUAGUACAUGUGAGAUUUAUUUUCUUCAAAGUUCUAGUAAUUAUUACGACCAGUGAAGUAAGAAUGAAGUAUAGUAUGACUGACUCAAUAAAAAGAAGAUAGACUCAAUGAGUUCAGUUACUUUAGUUUAAGGAAAUGUUAAUAAAUGUUUCAAAAAUGGCGAGUUUUAGCAUGGGUUAAUUGUCAAAUUGCUCCAUAUUAGAUCAAUUUUGUUUUAUUUAUUAUUAGUUGUCCACCUUGCAUUUUUAUAUUUUAAUUUAUAGUCAUAUUUAUUUAUAAUAUAUCAAUUUUAAUUUAAUUUAAUGGGGACUAAAAUAUUUUGAAAGGACAAAAAGAUGUCACUUUUUAUAAGAAUUAAAAACAAAAUUUGUUAUAUUUACAGGGACAAAAAAUUUUAGUCCCCAUUAAAUUAAAAUUAAAGCUACAUGCUAAAAAAAUUUAGAGGGACAAAAACAUGUCACUUUUUUAUAAGAACUAAAAACAAAAUUCGUUAUAUUUAUAAGGAGCAAAAAUAUAUUUAAUCCUAAUUAAUAUUAAAAAGUUUUAUGGAAGGGAUUAAUAUUACAAAGUUAGAUACAAAAUAAAUUUAUUUAUUUAUAAAUAAUGUAGUAAAUAUAUAUUUACGUCAUAUUUUUUUAGCCCAGAUUUAAACAUGUCUAUGUUUUCUAAAUAAUGUAGUAAAUAUAUAUUUACGUCAUUUUUUUUUAGCCCAGAUUUAAACAUGUCUAUGUUUUCUAAAUAAUGUAGUAAAUAUAUAUUUACGUCAUUUUUUUUUACCCAUAUUUAAACAUGUCUACGUUUUCAAAUUAAAAAAAUUAUUGAGAAUGAGCUAGACCUUUUAGAUUUUUAAACGGGGGAUUAAAAAAUAAUGUAUCUAUAAUUCCUGUGAGCAUAGCUCAGUUGGCAAGGGACAUGCACUAUUAUGUAGGAGCCGGGGUUCAAACCCCAGACACUCCACUUAUUCACCUUGAAAAAUCUUAAUUCUAGUCAGUAGGCAACCUGACAAAAAAAAUCAAAAAUAAUGUAAUUACAAGUAAUUUUUUAUUUUUUUUUAGUCAAGUACAAGUAAAUUAAUUUGAAUCAAAUUAUAAUUGAGUAGGGCUAUAAAUUGGAAUAUAAAAUGCAGGGUGUACAUAUAAUAGCAAAUAAAAUAAAAUUGAUCUAAGAUGGAGCAGUUUCACAAUUGCCCCAUGCUAAAACUCGCCUUCAAAAAUAUUGUUUAAACAAUUUUAUUGGUGUACUUUUAUAUAUCUUUAUCGUAUAUUUAUGUUUGAACUUUCAAUACCUUUAAAUAAAAGUGGUUUUUUUUUUUUACAAAAUUAAAUAUAAGUGAGUUAAACAAUAAGUUUAAAUAUUAAACGUUACUUGGUAAACUUGUGUGGGAUAUCUUUGAACCCAAUAAUCAUUUAUGGUCUCAAAUUCUUUCAGCAAGGUAUCUUGAGGGAUCUAAUAUUUUCCUUACGGGAAAUAGCAAGGGCUCUCCUAUUUGGAAUGUCAUUGUUAAAAGAGUUAAAAUUUUGGAGGAUGGAUUUCAUUUCAAAAUUGGAAAUGGUACCACUAGUAUGCGGUACGAACCUUGGUUGCUAAAAGAUCAUGUAUGUCAUCUUGUGUCAUUUGUUCAAAUACAAGAUAUUGAUCUUCAAAUUCGAGAUAUUAUUAUCACGGAUAGAGGUAACCUACAAAAUGUUUAUACCAUGAUGCCUCAAGAUGUUAGAAGUAAGAUUUUGGAAAUGAUGACUCAUCUAGUGGAUGAUGUCACUGAUAACUGGAUUUGAAAUAACUGCAUCGUUGGUGCCUAUACGGCAAAAUCUGCAUAUAGUUGGUUGAAUGAUGAAGAGACAGUUCCUCUCUUACCUAGAGAUUCUUGGAAUUGGGUAUGGAAACUUAAAAUCCCAACCAACAUCCAAUUCUUCCUUUGGCAAGUGAUGCAUCUUGCGAUCCCAACACGAACUAUAUUGAAUCAUCGAGGUAUCCCAUUAGACUCCAUUUAUCCUAUUUAUGAUAAUGAACCUUAGACCUUAAUUCAUUGUUUGUUUAAUUGCAACCGAGCAAAAACUAUAUGGAACUUGAUGGUGGGUCCUAGUUUCGAUUUACCUGAGGAGGAUAGCUCGAUAUUCAUGUGGUCCCAUGAUAGUGUUGACAAGCUUGGCAUUGUGAUUCCUAUUACCAUGUGGAGUAUUUGGUGUGCUAGAAAUGCAAAGGUUUUUGAUGAUAUAAGCAUGCCUCUAAUGGCUUCUUUGUCAAAGGUCGAGGUUAUGACUCAUGAUGUUACUCAAGCUUUCAGCAGUAUGCAUAAGGAGAUUACUCGCAUUCAGCCUCAAUUUAUUUCUUAGCAAAAAAGCCAUCCUGACUCAUAUAUUCUUAAUGUGGAUGGUAGUGCUCAAACCAACCCGGGGAUGACAGGAUUCAGUGGCUUAAUUAGAGACUUCGAUGGACAAUUUAUGCGUGGCUCCAUGGUAAUAUUGGCUAUUCAAAUAUUCUUCAUGCCGAAAUCUUGACAUUAAUGCAUGGGAUUCAAAUUUGUUGGGAUGAAGGUCUCGGAAACAUUAUUUGUUACACUGAUUUCGUGCAUACUAUUCACCUAGUGCAGUAUGCUGAGGUUUCCACUCACCACUAUGAAAAUGAGAUAGCUAUUAUUGUAAAGUACAUGGUUAAAUAUUGGACUUUUCAACUAUGUCACACUCUCAGGGAGAGUAAUAUGUGUGCUGACUUCUUAGCAAAGCUUGGAACAAGGUCUACGAGUGAUCUAUUGAUUGUGUUUAACCCGUCAGCUGAGCUUCGUUUAUUGUUUACGGCAGACAAUAUGGGUGUUGCUUAUCAUCGCGGCCGGUAGUCUCUUUUUUGUUUUAUUUUUGCUUUGACUUUUUCUCAUGUAACCAAAAAAAAAAAAUUCAAUUUUAGAAUAAAAAACUUUAAAAUUUCAAACUGCAAAUUAAAUCAAUUUUAAAACCAAAAUCAACUAUACUUUGAAGACAACCAAACAUAUCAUGAUUGAUUGUACACCUUAAGAAUCGAUUUUGUACGCUCUAUAAGUGAAAUCAAACUAAACAAAAUCAAUAACAUCUAUUGAGGGAGCAGCUGACUUGUAAAUUUCUUAAUUUGGAACUGCUUUUUGGUACAUUGACAUCAGCUUUCUCUGGUAGUUGAAUUUACUUUACUUCACCAUUUGUGCUUGAGGCUUGAGCGAUGCCAGGAAAUUUAGCUGCAUCUAUCAAACCCAGAAACUUUCUCAUUUUUACGAUCCUUCUUUUCUGGCAUUUUCAUCUUCUAUUAAAUGAGGUAAACAUAAUGGUCCCCAAUUGAAUAAUGAGAUUGAAUUUUCCUUCUUCAUUUCGAAAGAAAAUAAUUUUUAUUCAUAAAAAGAUAACAAAUAGUAUUUCUUUUAUAGGAAAACUGAUAUUUAUUGAUUUUACUAGUAGAUGAAUCAUUCAUUUAUUGUCGGUGCAAUCCAUUAUUAAAUUUACCUAACAAUGAGUCUUCUAUUUUUGGAAAACACCAGAAAUGCAUUACUACAAAACAUGAGAAGAAGGGCUGCCUGGUCUUAUUCUUAUCUGGGAUACUAUCACACAUUUUUUUCAAUUCCAGCUUGGGAAAUAAGCCAAACACAAAUAAAUAACAUACUAUAGUAGUUUGGUGACGCACAUAUGGUCAUAGAAUUAAUGGUAAUUAUAUAUUGGACAUUUAUUUAAUUAAAAAUUAUAACUCUAAUUCUCUGACAUUUUAAAAUAAAUUGGGUGGAUAAAUAUAUGGAACCAACCAUUUGUUAAAAAAAACAUAUAUGAAAUCAACCAAUCGAUUCCUUCUUGAAAUUCUUUUUGUACUACUGAGCAUUUUUUACAUCCCCACUUCAUACAACCUAUGUUACCCAAAAUAAAUUACUUGUUUUUAUUGUGCUCAAUUAGCAUGUACAUCAACGAAGAGUUAAGCAUGCUGUGUACUAGUGUGAAUCACGCUCCAAAGUCAAACAAGAAUCAAUUCAAAAAGGGUAGUUUCAUUAAUAACAAAAAUAUAUGCAAAAAGGAUAAAGCAAACUUCGGUGGAGCUAACCUAAACCUACCUAACUCUCGGUAUAAAAAUUCUUGCAAAAUUAUUUGAUGGUAUAAAAGUUUUGCAUGGUAUAUAAAAAAAAGAGUGGUGAUAGGUGAACCACCCUAAGUGGUAUACCACCUUAUACACCCUUCCACAUGUAGAAAAAGUUAAUAUAAAAUAAUCUUUUUAAGUGGUCUUUAUUUUAUUGUUUAUUUAUUUUAUUAAUCAAUUAAAAACAACACAAGUUUUUUUAGUGUAUCCCCCAACACAGAACACACGCUUCUUUCUUCUCCCACGUCCCACCACACCUCAGCCGUCCCUUCCACCACCACUCUUGCGCGCCACUACACCAGUCUACCACCACAUCAAUCGUUCUCACUCUUUUAAUUCCAAAUUCUGUUGUAAAAUCCGCAACUAAAUUUUCAGAACAAUGCAUUUUUCUUCACUCUCACAUCAUCAACAACAAAACCUAUUCUAAUUCUCCAAAAAUCAAUCCAAAUACUUCUUCUCUCUGUCAUGAACGCUUUGUUCUCUCACCUUUCAUCAUUCACAUCGUUUUCCACCACCACCAUCAUAAUCCCCCUCCUCAAAACGAAAUCUGGAAUUCUCACUGACAACCGUCGCCGUCAUCGUUGUUGUCGACCAAGAAAGUGAGAUUGAUAUCCUCACCCACAGCCACCGUCAUCGUUGUCGUUGGCCAAGAGAAGGAGAGGCGAGAGAGAGAAAGGGAACGUUUGAGUGAGGUCAAUGACAACAGAGUUGGUGAUGGUGACACACUGGUUCAUAGCCGGUGAGGAAAAGGAAGGAACAAGGAAGAAAGUGUGAGUGUGUGUUUCUAAUUGCAGACUCAGGAAGAUUGGAAGGAUUGAAAAAAGAAGUGUUUGCUAAAUUACCAAAAUACCCUGCCAGAUAGGGGUGUAUAGAAAAGUGAUAUGAAAAAACGGUGUUUAUGAAUCAUUUUCCUAAAAAAAGGUCUUACUAGGUUGUGUUACAAGUUAAAUGAAAUUUAAAAAUAGAAACAUUCUUUUAAAUUUUGUAUAUUCAAUCAAUUACAAGUAAAAAAAUAAAUUAAAUUCAAAUGUAUUUAUUAUAACACAAUAUUUCUACUUUUAACUCAUUAAUUUAUAUCUUAAGAAGUUAAGUUAGCAUUUCCCUUAAUAUUAAGGAUCUUAUUAAUGAGUGUCAUUAGAAUAUUGAUUAAACAAACAAUAAAAGGUUGCAAUAAAAAGUGUAUUGAUUACACAUUUUCCUGUAAAAUACUCCUCUUUUGUCUUCUUAAACAAUCUGUUAAGGAUAUUUGUUACUCUCUAUGUUCCAUUAUAAGUGAGUAUUUUCAAAUACAUAAGAAACUUUCAUUAGAAAGUUAAAUAUUUCAAUUUUUAAUUCAUCGAUUACACAAAUUUCCAUAACACGUUACUAAUUAAAGGCCUUAAAGAGUGCUCGAGGACCACCUGUUUAUAUAUUCUUCUUGUUUUUUUUUUUUUUUUUUUACAAAUUGAUCCUUUAAAUCAUAAAAUAUUUGCACCAUUAUCCUAUUUUCAUCAAACUUAGUUAAAAAGUGUUUAUGUGGACGUUUGAUGUUAAAUAGUAUAUUCAAAUUCACCACUCUCAGAACUAGGGUUCAUAUGUGUGAUGUUCAGUCUUUAUUUAAACAAAAUUGUUCUAUUAUAUGACAUUCAAUAUUGUUGAUGAAAUAUUUAUCUAUAAAAUUAGGUUAGAAUUCAAAGCAAGGAAAAAAAUAUGCGUAAGUUAUCAUGUUUGAUGUCAUAAACACAUUUGGAGCUAUCACCUCAAUGUUAAAUAGUCUAUAGACACUUUUUAACGAAGUUGACUAAAAAUUUGGAUAACAGUGUAAAUAUCAUGACUUAAGACCAAUUUUUAAAUAAAAAAACCCUUAAAGGAUCAAUUGGUAACAUUUUUUUUUAAAAGACUAACUUAUUAUAAACAUUUAACUUAAAAGAUCGCGGAAAUUAAAUAUUUUAAUUAGAAUCAUUUGACCUAUAUUUUAAUUAGAAUCAUUGACUCUUUAACAUGUCUCCAAGUUAUUCGAAGAUGAAAAUCCGAUUUUUCAUCAGUAAAUUCCAUCAACAGAGAAUUUACUAUUAAAUUGAUCAUCCAUGUUGACAAUCGAUCCAUUCGCCAAAGUUAAACCCUAAUUGUUCUUCGUAGAUGUUCAAUUUUCAUAAACUGAUUUCGUACCCGUACACGGGUUCGCUGGUUGCGUCUGUGAUUAAUGAAUUUAUGUUAAGAUAUAUUAUGGCUGAUCAUCUUGGUCUGAUUUAUCAUGAUGUACCCCUUUUAGAUUUUACCUGAGUUAGGUCUAUUGUCUCCCAUCCAUAGUUUUAAAAAUAAACCGGACCGGCUGGUCCGACCGUAAACCGGUGGCAUGACCAGUUCGAGCUGCAUGAUGGAUCGGAUAUGCAUUUAAACCGGCUGGAAUCGGUGUGACUCGACCGGUUUGGUGAACCGAACCGGGUCAAAGCAUCACUUUUAUUUUUUUGUUAAAAAAAACUGAAAAAAGAAGAAAGUGAACAAUAUAGAUGGUCUCAGGUAGAUCCGAAUAAGGGAAAAGACAAAGCAGCAGUUGUGUGUGUGAAUUUGUUGGAUAACAUAAUAAAUUUAAUACUUAAUCCAAAAUAUUAGAGAGAUAAGCAUAUGAGAUGGGAGGAAGAGAGGGGCAGCGGCGCUGCAAAUGCAAAAGAAAGUAGGGUUUUAAGUUUUCUCACUUGCUUUGCCUUUUAUAUUCACUCAUUAAUUUUUUUUUUCUCUCUCUCUUGUUUUUACGGAAUUUUUAUUUUAUUUAUUUUAUUGUUUUUAACAAGGGAUUUUUUAUUUCUUCUAAAAAAAGACCUUUUUAUUUGUAUUGAAAUGAAUGUUGGUCUUUCUUAAUAUAGUGGUGGCCUUGUCUAUUUUUAUUUCAAUUUAAUUAGCGUAUUGUAAUGGUGUACAAAUAUUUUAUAUAUGUAUCUAAUUGUGUGUAGUCAUGUCAAUUGAAUAAUAUAAAAAUAUAUAAGUUAUCAUAUUCAUUAAUAAAUAUGACAAUUCAUCUACUUAAUAUAAAAAUAUAUAAGAUAUCAUAUUCAUUAAUAAAAAUCAAGUCAUCCGAUUUAAUCCGAUUUAGUUAUGCGGUUUAACUAGUGACUCAAUGAUUCGACCAAUGACCCUGUAAUCCAUGACUUUUCCGAGUCGAUGACUGAUCUGAUUUUUAAAACUAUGUAUGCAUCCCUUUUCUUUUUAUUUGAUAUACUUUUCCUUUUGACCAAAAAAAGUCGGCAGUGAAAAUUCAAUUUUCUUUACAUGUUGGACUACCUCCUAAAUCAGACAAAGGUUUUUUUUUUGUUGUUGUUGUCAAAGAUUAUAUAUUCAACAAGGUCAUAUUUAUGCAACCAAAAGACCUCAAAAAGUGUCCCUUGUUGAUACAUUGUUAUCAACAAACUAAGGAAAUAUACUCUGGUAAAAGAGUUUUGUCACGAUUUAUUACAAGGGAGGGCCUCACCCUAAAUCCUAAUGGAAGACAGUUAUGUAUGUUAUUCCGGAAGAGGAAACAAUUAAUUACAAGUUACUUUUUUUUUGGUUAAAUUUACAAGUUAUUGUUUAAUCCAAGAAAAAGUGAAAACAUCCUUGUAUGGAAUAUCGUGUGACUGCCAGAAAUUAUGGGGGUGUUUUUUCUGUGUUUGUACCAAACUUGUGUGAAAUGAAAAUGGAUUUGAUGCGGCUUGUCACAUUUUCUUAGUGCUUGUUUGGUCAAGCGUUUUCACGCCCCAAACCACGUUUUGAAGGCAAAACACCGUUUCAAUUUUUUUUUUUUUUUAUGUUUGGAUGUUUUGCAAAAUCAAAUCCCAAGAAAGUGAUUUUGGUCCCAAACGUGGGUUUUUCAGAAGCCACAAAUUGAAGCUUCCACGGCAAUUCAACAAUCACGUUUCACUUUAAAAGGAUGAUUUACCAAACUACCCAUAUUCACACAAACAACACAACUGCUUCUUCUUCACAUCACCCAGAUUUCAGCCAGUUGCAUGUUCCCCUUUCCCUAUGAAACACACAGCCAUACAAAUCUCUCUUUACCUUGGUAAGUUUGAGGCCAUCACACAAGCUUUGAGUGAUGAAAAAAUGGGAAAAGAAUAUUAGAGAUAUGGGAGGAGGAGAAAUGGCAGAAGGGUAUUGAGAGAUGGGGAAGCAAAUCAAAAUGGUAGAAAUCAAAGAGACAUACAAGAAAUUGAAAGAUCUAUGUCAAUGGGUAUCCAAUUGGUAUGAAAUUGAAGGAUUUGCAUAAAUGGGGAUCCAAUUGGUAUGAGGGAGUUUCUUGAAAGUGUUUUUCUUUUUCUUUUGAGGGUGAACGUGUUGUUUUCUUUCUGUUCCUUAUUGAAGUUAAAAAUUUAUUUGUUAUUUAUAAAUAUAAAGGGAAUUUCUAUAGUACACUCACAAUUUUGAGUGUACCGAUACUCUUGUUUCACAAAAUAUAUAAAUUAACGAUCACUUUAAUGAAAUAAAAAGGUAUUUGUCAAUAUUUAUAUUUUAGAAAACAUUAUUUCAUAAAAAAAAAACCAUCAUUUCAUUGUUUAUAAGGAUCAUAUUAAAAAAUUUACAUUUUGUCAUAAAAAAUAAUCAAUAUUCAUUGUUACGAGUAAUAAAAAUUCUUAAAAAUUAAAUUUUAUUUCGUCGAAGCUUUUGGUAAAUAAAAUUUAAUUAUCUUAGUUGUCAAUGAUAGAAAAUAAUUAUUUUUCUUCUAAAAAACAACUCAUUUAUUAUUAAUUUUACGACUUGGUGUACCGAUACAUCCAAAUUUAUUGGGUGUACAAUAGAAUUUGCCAAAUAUAAAUACUUUUUUUUUUGACAAAAAUAAAUAUAAAUACAUUAAAAGUCCAUUUUGGUUGUAAAAAAAAAAACCCAUUUUGGUAAUUAGACACCCAAAAUCAAUUUUAAUCCAAUCUAUCCAAACAAUAUCAAUUCAUAUGAAUUACUUUUAAAUGAGUGCAUCCAAACAUAAAUCAAUUUACAUCUAACUCACUUUUAAUCAAAAUCAAUUCUCUUAAAAUCAAUUCUAUCAAAAUCAAUUCUCGCCACCGCCAUACCAAACACACACUUAAGGGUUUUUGAAAGGAAAAGUAGGCACAUGGAUCAUUUUUUUCAACUUAGUGUGUGUUUGGUUUGGCGGUGGGAAGAAUUGAUUUUGAUAGAAUUGAUUUUGGUUAAAAGUGAGUUGGAUGUGAAUUGAUUUAUGUUUGGAUAAACUUUAAUAGAAGUGAUUCUUAUGAGUUGAUGUUGUUUGGAUAGUUUGAAUCAAAAUUGAUUUUAAAUGUGUAAUGAUCAAACUAUCAUUUUAAAUCUAUGUAACUUUUAAUUGUAUUUAAAAGUAAAUAUCAUAAAUGGAUUUUAUUGCUUCAAAAAAUCAUUUUAAAAUAAUAUUAAUAUAAGAGUUAUUUUUAAUAUAUUUUUUAAUCAAUUGAUUGGUUUUUAAUAGAAUCUAGGCAUCAAAAUAAUGCAAUUAAAAGAGAGACACACACUCACUUUCUUAGUGUACGUACUCCCCAUGUGAAACCCAAUCCACUCAUGUCCUUCUCUAUCUCAAUGGCACAAUCGACUGUCUAUUUUUUCCCAGUAAAUUCGGUAUUUUCAUAGCUGAUUUUCUUCUCUCCCCAUCUCUCAAUAUAUCCUCCAUCUUCCAUAAAUAUUUAUUGUCAAUAUCUAAUCUCCUUUUUCUCAUUAAUUAAAAAAAAAAAACUCUCUUUUCUCCCAUUCUAUGGUGGAAACACAGAUUUGUCCAUUUUUUCAUCAAUUAGAUCCGUCCAUUCUAUAGAAAUUGAAACCCAAACGUGAUUUUGAUUUGCCGUGGAAGCUAGGAAUUUCAGCUUCUCCUGUACUGGCGUUUUGAAGGCAAACGUACGAUUCCAUAAUUGCUUUUUCUGUCAGCCAAACAACACAAAAAGAAAGGAAACGACGUUUUGCUGUGUAAACAGAGUUUUGGAGGAGAAAAACGCCUCCCCAAACGUACACAAUAUGCUUUCCCAUGCUAAAUCUCACCUGCUUUUGCUUAUUAAAUCAUGCAUGCCCUAUUUUAACUGCAAAAUUGGGUAAAAGAAAGUAACAAAAAACUAGUUAGCAUGCCCCAUCUGGAUACACCGAUGAGUCACGUUCAAGGUUUCUUGUUUUUUUCUUUGUUUUUUUUUUUAGGGAAAAAAAAUUACACAAUUUCCAUUUUUAAGAUUUAUUUUUCCAAACAAAUUAUUGUUUCCAUUCUUAAAAGCCUAAACCGUGAUCAAGUUAGUUGUAAUUCAAAAUUACACUAUUUCUUCCUUAAUUUAAUUUUAAUUAACACUUUUGUUUUUUUGAUUUAAUCAUUUUGUUAUAAUCAGGUAACAUUAUCAUCCUUUAUAUUUUUUCCGUUUAAUCCUUUAUGUUAUAAAAUAGGUCAAAUGCAUCUAAAUGUCCUUUAAGUUUUUCGUUUUUUUCAAAGUGGUCCUUUAAGUUUCAAAAGUCUCAAACAAGUCAUUUUAGUUUUUGAAUCGUUUCAAACAAGUCAUAUUGUAGAUAGCAUGGUUGGUAAUUGCUUUCUUGAACUCAUCUUUGGUACAAAAUCUGACUCCUAACACCCACUUAAAAUUAGUCAUCUUUUUAGGCAUGGCAAAUGGUGGAUAAUGUUCUUUGUCAUCAUCAUCCUCUAAAAGGACUUGUUUGAAACGAUUCAAAAACUAAAAGGACUUGUUUGAGACUUUUGAAACUUAAAGGACCACUUUGGAAAAAACGAAAAACUUAAAGAACCUUUAGAUGCAUUUGACCUAUAAAAUAUUAAGAAGUUAGACCCACUUACUAAAAUCCUUUAUAUAUUUUUUUGGUUUAAUCCUUUAGGUUCUCCUAUUUCUGCGAGCUUUCAAGACCUAACUCACAUAAAUUUUUCUCAUAAAUAUUAAUAAGUAGAAUUUGGUUAAAUUGAACCUAAAAUGUAAAAGUUUAUGUUUUAUGGCUAAGGUGGAUCUAUUACAGGCAUUUUCUGACCUCAAAUGCCACCAAAUCCUAAUUAAAGGGAAAAAAACAUUUAUUUAAUUUAUUAUACUAGUAUAUGAUUGUGAUAGGCACAACUUGAUGUCAUAAAUUUUAUAAGAGUGAAAUAAUGAUGGGCAAAUUUUUUAUGUGAGUUUAAUAGGCUACCUAUAUUUGGAACAUGAUAUUUACAAAUUUCUGUCACUAAGGUUCUAACGUGGAAUAACUUGGGCAGCCAUGCAAAACCCACUUUCAUAUAUGUUGAAGACUUCACAUGAUGAACCACAUGGUGUUUGGACAUGGACAGUGAUUGAUUAUUAGAGAAUAUGAAUGAAUUUGCACAAUGAAGUAAGUGGGGUUGGGGAGGGAGUAUUUAUUGAGUCUCACCUAGAAGAGUACAAUUUCAGUUGCAGUUUGCAUCUCACACAUGCUUUCUUUUUUCUAUAUAGCUUUUGAUUUUUGUAUGGUAAGGGAAAUUAAUAAUGGAGUGUAGGUGUUGAGAAGUUUUGACCAGAAGGGAAGGUUUUGAUUCUUACAUUAUCGUUCAACUUUAACCUCUCCCUCUAUUUAUUUAUUUGGUAGGAAUUUUCAUCUAACUAAGAUUUUCCGCGUUCACGCAUUUGGGAUAUUGUAAAGGAUUGAUUAACAUUGGAUUGUUUAAAAAUAUGUAGAUUUUAAUUUUUCUUUUAUAGUUUAAAAUGUGUGAAUGUAAAAAAUCUCAAAUAGCAAGGAAUCAAAAUUCACUUGGGGUUGGACGAGAUGCAUACACACUUUAAUGAUCAUCGUUAUUCCAAACAUUUAACUUCAGACAUUACAAUAGAAAGCAAGUGAAAAUAAAGGCAGCAUGCAAUUGAAUUUGAAGGACACAGUACAUGAACAUCUAUUCAAGAUGCCUCAGUUUCUUUUUCCUUUGUAUAUCCAGGCAUUUUGUUUUUGGAUGUUCUUGCUUUGUAAAAGAUACUAGAAUAUUUUGGAGUCGGUGUGUUGAAAUUGUAGGAAGUUUUUAGUAUUUAACUUUGAUUGAUACGGUGGUAGUACCUUACCCUUCUUCUUGGUUUUACAACUUUUCUCUUUCGCAAAAGUAUUCAGUUACCACUUCUCGCUUUCCUAUUUAGCAAUCCAUGUAAAGUUAAGAAAUACAAGUUGUUUAAUCUAAUUUGAAUACAAAACAUUGCAGUGCAAACUUCCAAAUAUUGCAGCAAUUGAAUACUCAGAGAUACAAGUUAAGCUUGCUCAUUCAUGUUUUAAUAAUCUUGAGGAAUAAAAUAUUUCAACACCUCAGCAGUUGCAAACUGAAUUGAUGAAAGCCUAUACAGAAAACCCAAUUUUGACAUAAAGUGCAGACAAAAAAGACUUAUCACCUAUGAUUUACUUCUACAUUGGUUCAAAAGCUAAUGUCUGUAAACAUCUCCAAGCUUUGAAGAUUCUGAUUUUGUACUAACAUAAACUGUACCUUGUAUGACAAUAUUAGGGAACCAUUUUUUUUUAGGUUAAAUCUUUUUUUGAUCCCUAUAAUUUAUAAAUAUACUAAAUUUUUAUUUUAGUCACCUAAAAUUUUUGUUCAAGAUUUUAGUCCUUAUAAAAUUUCAAUCAUCACUUUUGGUCUUUAUUUUUAAAUCGGCUCAUGUAUUUUUUAAUGAAAUUGUGUAAAAAGGGUUAAAUACGUUUUUAGUCCUUACAUUUUGCGUCCCUUUGAAGAAUAGUCCAUACAUUUCAUUAAACCUUUUUAAAAUCCUCACAUUUUAUCUCCGUUAUCAAAAUUAGUCAUUGUUGUUAAUUCUUUAACGGAAUGCUGAUGUGACAGUUAGUAGAUCCCAAUUAGUUUAAGAUUAAAUAUGUUUUUGGUCCCUACAUUUUGCGUGACUUUGAAGAAUAGUCCUUACAUUUUAAUAAAUGCUUUUAAAGUCAUGCAAAAUUUAAGGGCUAAAAACAUAUUUAACCCUUGUAAAAAUCUCUCUUUUAACAAAACAUGAGUUAAAUAUGAGUUUUUAACCGCAAAAAAUAUAAAAAUUCAUAUUUAAUUUAUGUUUUGUUAAAAAAUUCAAAUUGUUUUUUGGAGAGAUUCUAUAAUAUUAUAAAUUUUUAUGUAAAAUUUUCUUCAAAAAUAUGAAUUCUAGAUAUAUGAGUUUACUUAAAAUGAGAGACUAAAAGUGAAGAUGCAAAAUUUUGCGAUGACUAAAAGUCGAAGAAAUUUUUUAGAGGGAUUAAAAUGAGAAGUUGAUAUAUUUAUAGGGAUUAAAAACAUAUUUAACCUUUUUUUUAUUAGUGAAAAGAAGAUAAAGAACACCCAACACCUAAAAUCUUUACUUUUUUUUCUUUCUUUACAUUUUUUUUUUAGGAAAUUCUUUAUACCACUUAUAUAUCACAGUUCACACACUCAUUAUGAUAAACCGACGCACUCAUCAAAGUCAUUUAGCGUGACAAGUUUUAAAAUAAAUGUGAAAAGCAUAAAGAAGGAGCAAGAAUGUUGAACACCAUAGCUUUAUAUUUUUAUAUAGAUAUAUAUGAUGAUAUGAUUAAAUUAAAGUUGUGAUAAUUUUCAAACACAAAUCAUUAGAGGAACCUUCACCCUCAAGAUACACUACAAAGAGGUUUUCUUGUGACCAAACCAGAUCUACAAUUCAAAUGAUCCUCUCUUAAAUAUCAUUCACAGACAAAAACAAAACAAAAUAAUCACAUGUACAAUAUAGAUGAGCAGGAGUAACAUUCAACAGCAGAAAAACCACAUAAAAAUAUAAUUUUCUAUUGAUUAAAACACAAAGGUGUUGGGUUUAGGUAUAUUAAUGCAGCUGAUGAAGAAAAGAGUGAAAGAAGAGAUAGCGAGAGGUGCAAAAAUUUGUAGAGAUCUACACUCAUUAAUUAUUUUUUUAGCAUCUGACGAUAUGGUAGUAUUAAAUUAGUCAAUAGUUUAUUAAAUUACUCAAUAUAGCUGUUUUUUUUAAACAUCAGUAUAGUUGUUUAUUCAAGUAUCUUCACCCUUCUAGGAUAGUGAAGAAGAAAAAAAUUGGUGACGAUUAAGGUUUGGAAAAGAGAGAAGCAAGGUCAAAGGUAAUGGGGUGGCCAAGGGAGGUCGUCCCCCCCCCCCCCCCCCAAUUUUUUUCUUAAAAAUUUUAUACUACUAAUUUUAUGCUAUUUCACUAGUAUUGUGAACGUGGUCCCCCGUCAUUAGCUCUUUUGUUGGAGUCCUCGAUUAUUUGAACAUUGAGCAUUUGUCAUUUAUGAAAAAAAAGAACCCUUUAAGUAUGUCAAUUAUAAAAGCGACAAUAGAAUAAAAUAAGAUAUUUUUUCUUCUCACUUCCAUUUUUUCUCCCUGCCAUUUGAAAAUACCAAAAUACUCGUAGAGGUACAUUGGAGAGGUGAACGAUAGUUAAGUGUCACUCGACCCACAACAAUUGCGAAAAUAGAAAAUUGGGGAAUUGAGAAGAGUAACUUUCAUAAACUAAAUCAAAUAAGUAAAUAUAAUUUUUCUCUCUUCUCCUAAUAUUAACUUUAAAUGUAGAUUUAUUAAAAAAAAAACAUAAAAUGUAGAUUAAAAUUCUUAUAUAUGUAGUGCAUUUGAGAUUUUUUGUUUUGUUUAACUAAAUAUCUUUUAGUGCUCGUUUGGUUACCCGUUUUGUGGGUACAAACGUGAGUCUGAAGCACUCAAAAGCAGUUUUUCUAUUUUUGUGGUGUUUGGGUAACUGCAAAAGUGAUUCAACCCCCAAACUCACGUUUACCAGAAGCUAAAAGUUGGAGCUUUUCAAAAGCAAUUUAGGAAUUCAACUUUUGGUGGCUGAUGUACUUUCCUAAAUUACCCAUGAUAUUCUUUUUCAUUUUUCGACAAAGUUUUAUAAAACACAGCAAAAGUGAUGAAUUUUUUGUUGCUCAAAUUCUUUCUCGACCCUGUUUCUGCCUUCAUGUUACCCAGCAAACUUCAACAUUCUCUCUCUUUCUUUGAGAAAAGAUGGAAUUGGGUUUGUAUUUAUUUAUUUUAUUUUAAUUUUCACAAAAUGAAAUUGGGUUUCAUAGGCCUAUUAGUUAAUUUCUCCUCUUAUGCAAGCCCAUUACAUUUUUUACAGAUUCUUUUUUAAGAAAAAACCAUUUGACAAAAUUUGUUAUUUUUUGUACAAAGAGAAAAUUUGUUAAUUAAUAUGUGUAAAAAUAUUUAUAUAGUAUACCUAAUUCAAAUUAAAGUAUCAAAUUAACAUGCAUUUUAUUUUAGAAGUUUUUCUAAUCUACAAAUAAUUAAAUUGAUAAUGCAACAUAAAUUUGAAUAAUUAUAUAAAAUAGAAACAAAAUAUAAUUUUAAAUAGAUAUUUAUACUCAUUUUGGUAAUUAUGCAUUCAAAUAACAAGAAUUCUAAGAAUCAAUUCACAUUCAAGUCACUUUUUUUCAAAAAUCAAUUUUAUCAAACUCAAUUCUAUCAAAAUCAAUUAUUUCCACCGCUGAACCAAACGCACACUUAAACAUGUCCCCCCUUAACCGUUGUUAAAUUUCUAGCUCGACCUGUGGAGGAAGAGAUGACCAAUUAUUUUUCACUCAAUUACUUUUAUAUAUGUACAUAUCUUUUUCUUAUUCAAGUUAAUUUUGUAUUUCAUAAAAGACAAAUUAUUCAAAUGAAGCUCGUUUCGAUUUAUGUGUGGAACAAUUUUGGCUAGAUUAAAAAAUGAAACGCAAGAAUUAAAAUUAAAAAUAGAAAUUUCAAAAGGAUAAAAAAUUCUAUAUAAAAAAAAGAGACUAAAAUUGGCAUUUUAAUGGGCUAAAUAAAUGUUCUCUACUUCUCAUAUGCAAGCAAGGAGAAAAAAAAAAAAAAAGUGGAGUUUCUCUAUGCAAAAUCGUAAACGCUUUAUUGGUGAGUUCUUCUCCUUUUCGUACUAUCAGUUCAAGUGUUUAUAUUCGCCAGAAUUUGAUUAUAUUCAUCACAAUCGAUUAUUUAUAUAUCUUUAACAGUUAACACUGAUACGAUUAUUGAAUUUGUAUGAAUUAGGAAAUGGCUUCAACAUCAGAAGCUAUGAAUGAAUUCGACGAAUCGAUGAAGAAACAAAUUGCAUUAAUUUUGAAGGUUGUGCUUUUGAAUAAAUCCUUGAAAGAGGAUAAUAUUCCUUGUGAAAUUGACCAGGUAGUUUACUUAAUCAAGCUUCAUUUUGUUAUUAUCUUCACUAUUCUUCUGAAUUUUGUAACUAAUGAUGAAUGAUAUUUGGUUAGGGUUUGUUUUUGGGUUCAGUUGGUUCUGCUACGAACAAGGUUGGUUUAAAAAAUGUGAAUGUUACUCACAUUUUGACUGUGGCUGGGAAACUUGCACCUGCACAUCCUGCCGAUUUCGUCUAUAAAGUUAUAGAUGGUAUGUUUCUUUUAUUAUUACUUAUUGCACUCACACGGUCACCAUACAUGACACUGACACAUUGACACUAGUAAAAAUUUGAGAAAAUGAAUUAACUGAACGUAAUCACAUAUCCAAUGUGGUGUCGGUGACACGCCUUUAAUCAGGGAUGUCGGUGUUACAUAGAUGAUCUGGAACUGAUUUUGACAAUGAUGCGGUUUUAUUCUUUUUGAUUUUGGUCUUUCGGAGCUGUUGGUUUUGUGGCUAUCAAAGUAAUGCAAGUGAAUUCACUAUAUAAUGGACUAAACAAAUGGAUAGGGUGUGUUUGGAAAUACAUAUCUUCAUCAAUAAUGUUACAAUAUUAGUCAAAAUAUAAGGUUGAGGUUACCUAUUUUUAUUAGUAAGAUGAUUUGGAUGUUAACUUUUGUUACCUUAUUGAGGUUCUCAGUUUCCAUGUUUAUGGAUUAUUUGAGUUGUAUUGCAUUUAAUGUAAGGUUUAUUUAAAGAAAUAAUGUUAAAAUAGGGCAAAAGGAAGGAAGUGGUGGUAGGGUGGGUUUUACAGAACACCGAUUAGGACAGGGUCGGGUACCUAAUUUUUAUUUUGGUGACAAUGGAGUGGGUUUUGGGAGGCGGGUUCAGGUGGAGAGCAAAACCUUGACUCCAUGACCAUUGCGUGCUUUGAUCUAUAAAAGUUUAGCAUUUUCUUUGCAAUUAUGAAAAAGCGUGCUUUGAUCUUUGAAAGUUUAGCAUGUGUUGAGAUUGUUCCAUUACUCGACAUUUUCAAUAGGAGAGAAAUUGAUGUAAUAUUUUUUUUAGUUAUUCAUCUCUCUCUCUCUCUCUCCCUCCUACUAGAUGUGUCGAGUACUAGAGAGAGGAUCUCAAUCUGUUUAGCAUGCAGUUGCUGUCAAAAAAUUUCCUUCUAUCUUAGAAAUUGUAUUUUGUUAUAAUAGAUGUUAUCAUCUCAGAAUGUCAGUUCCUUUUUAACCGACUCGUGUAAUAUUGCGAUCAAUUAAAUGAGACUGCACAACAUUUCAGGUCCAUGUUGCUUGUCAUUAAGGUUGAUUAUGAUUAUAUUGAUUACACUCUAAUUUUGUCUUAAGUUUUUUAGGCAUCUAGUACACAAUAUCCAUACUAAAGUUACACUUUUGUUGGAAAAUUGAGAAGUUGCUGACAAAGAGGAUACCAACUUAAAACAACACUUCGAAGAGUGUUUUGAUUUUAUUGAUGAAGCUAAAAGUAAUGGUGGAAGUGUUUUGGUUCAUUGUUAUGCUGGAAGAUCGAGGAGGUAAGUUUCGCUGUUUAUAUCUUUCUCUCUUGCUUACAUAGGAUCAUUUCUUGUUCAUUGUACAGACUAUUAUUUUACUUUAGACAAGUGUCAAUAAGUUGAAAUCUGUUUUAUGUCUCAAUCAUCUCAGGCAUUUUUGUUUUGUUUUGGUUUAAAUUUCUGGAAUGUUGUUUCUCAAGCAAAAACUGGGAGCAGCACAUUGCAUAUUUGAAUUUCAAUGUUUCUUAAAAUCCUUACAUUUUUAUUUUGUUAUCAUUGUCUUUUAUUAUUCAAUAGCAGAUAUUAUGUUUUGCUUAUAAAGUUGGGAAAAUGUCAUGGAAGCUUAUAGCUUUUUAAUUAUGUCUUUAGUUCAAUGAUACUAUCUCUUGAAAUCCAUUGUAAUAAUGUUCUGAGUAUGGCCAUAUAUAUGUGAUGCCAUGUGGAAUUUGAGGAUAUGAUUGUUGAGCUAAAUGUCAAAUUGUUUCAUAUAUGGAAAAUGACAAACCUUGUUGAUGCUUUGAAAAUUACAGAUAUGAUUUUUUUUUUGUUUUCCCUGUCAUUAUUGUUUUCUUUUCCAGAAAUCUGCUUUCAUGUCGAUCUUUUCCGUUUGAACUUUGACAUAUUAAACAUUUGAACUGACAAUUGAAGUGUGCAUGCUUCUCAAUGAAAUAGACUAAAAAUGCUUUAUAGUAUGAAUUGAGAUGCCAUCGAUUUUUUUAAUAUGUAGAAUGGAAAGUUAGGGAUGUAAGCUUGAGAUUCAUGAAUGAUGAUUAUGUCCUUGUUUACUAUUGGCCUGUCACUUAUAUUCUGCACAAAGUUCAUGCAGCAUUUUACUACCUCCUUUUUUAAUGGUCAUAUUGGAACUAAGAAUCUUGGUAUUCAUAUUGUUCAUUUGGCUAUUUUCUUUUUCAUUAGAUUAACUGGAAAAACUUGGUUCUAAUUUAUUUCCACCUUCUAGUGUGACUAUCAUUGUGGCAUAUCUGAUGAAGUCUCGGGGAAUGAGCUUAUCUGAAGCUCUGCAACAUGUAAAAUGCAAAAGACCACAAGCAACUCCAAAUCGUGGUUUCAUUCGUCAGCUGGAAGACUUUGAGAAAUCUCUUCAAGGUUAAAACUGUAUUAAUCUUAAAUAUAAUUAAACAUCAACAUGCCAAUAUAUAUAUAUAUAUAUAUAUGGGGUUUGCUAGAACACACCCACUAAUUUUUAUGUGGGAGUGUUUUAGCAAAGCUACACCUUAAGGUGUAUUUAACCACUUUUUAGUUAUUAAAUUGCUAAAAUACUCCUUCUAAAAAAUAAGUGGGUGUAUUCUAGCAAAUGCCUAUAGGAUUUGCUAGAACACACCCACUUGUUUUUUUAGAAGGUGUGUUAAAACAACAUACACCUUAAGGUGUAUUUAUUAACUUUUUAGUUAUAACUUACUAAAACACUCCCACAUAAAAACUAGUGGGUGUGUUCUAGCAAAUCCCUAUAUAUAUAUAUAUAUAUAAGAUACAUUUAGAUCUUAUAUAGAUAUUAAAUGGAUACACCUCUAUAGCCAUGAAGAUACAUUUACGAUUUACAUUUAGCACAUGUAAGAGCUUGUGUAAAAUAUAAGGAGUCACUUCACUUUACAUAAAAGCUUUUAUAAUGCUUAUUGCUUAAACUGAAAGAAAAUUGACUUGUAUAUAAUAUAGUAAUCUAGCAGAGUGUGCAUGGUAAAGGAAGUAUAAAGGGUUUUAUAAUUAUCCACUAAACAUCAUUGUUACCAUUGUCAUACAAUUUUUGCAUAAAGAAUGAUACAAUCACAUAAGAGUUUGACUAACGAUCAUGUCUUAUAAGCAUAUAAGCUAUAUUCGUGUGUGUAUGUGUGUGUCUCUAUUUCAUUAUGAUCUUUAUCAGAUAUUUAAGCAUAUGUGCUCAUUUUUCUGUGAAACUUUGAUUUGAACAUAUCUCUUUCCUUUAUUUUAUAUUUUUUGUAAUAUCUAAAUUUUAAUGCAUGACAUUAUGUAUAUGAAAUAUUAAUGCAAUUCUGUCAAAUUGGAUCUUCCUGGGUUUUUCAAAUGGUAGAUCUAUGUUUUAAUUUAUAUAUACCUUCGCUGACUUUAAAAAUACCGCUGUUCUCUUUAUAUGGUUUUCCCCCUUCAUUUUCUUCACUAAUGGACUCCACAUUUCUUUUGUUCUUCAUAUAGUUUUAUGAACACUGAUUCAAAUUCAAACUAAAAGUAGUUUGUGUGAACAUAUCAUUGAUUGUAUCUAGUUUGUUUUUGUGAAGAUAUCGAAGUGUCUGGAUAGAGAACAUGAUGGUGAUCAGACAAGGUAGUGUAGAUGAUUAGCGUGACUCUGGCAAUCAUGUGAAGACAAGGCAGCAUCAGUUAUGGAUUGGCACUGAAACUUCAUCCUCAGGUGCGGAAGUCCCAGUUUAUAACAACUAUGAAUUGCUACUAUGCAUACCAGCCUAUUUCAUGAAAUGUUGAAUUCGAUCUGUCUUCUCUCAUUCCAUGUUUCUGUAGUGUUUAGGAAAAAUGGCCUGUUAGGAAAAAUUAACUUUGUUAGAGGGGAUAUACUUCUCCAGAAACAUUUACGAAAACCAAAAUAUUAAAAUAAUUGCAACGAGUACUCAAUUUUUAAAUAGCAGCUUUUGUUUGAGAGUAUUCUUGAGCUUUUUGGAACAUUUUUCUGUUUUAUUUUCAAGGGAUGCACCUAAUAGUACUUGAGUUUUUGAAGUGGAUAUUGUUCAGUAUAUCCAAGCUGAACCCAAUUAGGCAAGUCCAAUAUCGGAUUGCCCACACUCGUUGUUGACCCAAACUGAUAAAAGAAAGGGUAAAUAUCAUCUCCUCUCCACGACUGGGAGCUACCGUGCACACUCUGAUUAAAACCUGUGAGCACAUGAUGAGAAGAAAUUACCACCUCUUGUCUACCCAUGGGCAACACCAAAGGUUCCAACCAGGAAAGACCCGUGAUGGUCACUUCCACCCACACGAUGAUUGAAUGAAAGGAGAAUUGGCCCAUUAUCCCGAGUAAUAUAACUCAGAGAGGAGGCAAAUAAUAGCUACAAAUAGGACACGUGUAGAUGUUCAUAGGCAUUCCGCAUUUUAGACUAUCAAAUGUAGAGAAUUUUUGUAACCUAAUAAAUUUUGUUGUCUUGUAUUCGAAUGUUAUUGUCUUGGGUUUAGUUCUCAUUCUUAGUGCAAUGACAUUUGAGAGCUUUUUUCACCCAUGGUUCUUAAAAAACGGUCUUGUCCUGCUCAUGGAAUUUCCCUAGUUGAGACCCCAGUACCUCACACCCAAAUGAUGAGAGUUGCCACCACUUCCUUUGCCCACGAGCAAGACAAUUUAAUUAAAGGAGAAACUAUCCACUAUACCAAGUAACGUAAUUUAGAGGAGGUAAAUGAAGGUUAUCAAUAAGACGAUUGUAGACGUUCAUAAGCACUAGACAUUUUAGAUCACCAAAGAGAUUUCUUUUAACUUGAUAAAUUUUAGUCUCUUGUAUUCAAAUGUUGUUGUCUUGGCGGGCUUAGUCUCCGUCUUAGUGCAAUAACAUAUCACACUGGGGAAAAUAAUGAAAAUUGAAAUGCCAUAAACGAAUACUUGAGGUCUAAUAAUUACAUUUCAAAUCAUCUAUUUCUUUACCCAAAAAUCAUCUAACUUAGGAGGGUCAUCAAGUCUAGAGUUUAAUAUGUUCGCUCUUACUCUUGAUAAGUUAUUUACGUCGGAAUAAGAAUGAAUUUAUUUUUUCUGGAAAAAAGUGGACUGGUCAUAAUGUGGUUAAUACCAUCCAUGGAGGCAUGGGUGCAGAUUGCGAGAUCUCUCAAAGGUCCUCGUCCAUCUGACAAUGUUUAAGUUGAAUUGUGACAUCGUUUUGUUCAGGGAGAUAUGUGGGCUGUGGCCUGUGGCCUGUGGGGGUAUCCGUUGAGAUUGUAGGCAAAUUUGUUUUGUUUAUACUAAGAGAUUAUGCUGCUAUAGCCUAUAAGGGUUUUAGAAAGCAAAGUUGAUGAGCCUCUUCCAUGGCCUAAGUCUGGUCCUUAGAAUAGCAAAAUUACGGAGUCACUGAAGUCGGAAUCCUUGGUGACCAUUUGUCCAAUCUCCAAAAGAUGCGUUCCAUUACCAUUUGCAUGCAUAUUCAUGUUAAAUUUUAUCGAAGGGAUUCAAAGCCUCUUGCAUGAUAGCAAAUCAAUAUUGUGGAAAUAAUUUAGUUCGAAAGUUCGAGUGCUUCCAACGGUGCAACCAUUAUAAAUGGUUUAAGUGGAUUUUUUUUUCAUAAUGUCACAUUACAUUUAUUUUAUUAUUUUUUGUUUUAAUGGUACAACCUUAAGAAGUCACGAUAACUCUCACAGAAUUAUCUAUCAAAAUUCAAUAGAAUACAAAAUAAUUUAAAAAUAAAGCUGGGUAGCACAGGACAUCAUGCUAACCCGGCCACCCAACCCAACAAGUUCUAUGUUUGCAUACUUUUAAAAAUUAAUUUCUCUAACAUAAUUUCUAAUUUGAAUUUUUUUUUUUUUUUAUCACGUUUCACACGACUCUUUCUUUAUUAAGAUGCAGAAACACCUUAAUUACAUCAUCACUUUGUCAUUGUGACAUACUUGUUUUUGAUUUUUCACAUUCUAACAUAACAUGUUGAAUUGGAGUUGAUCCCUGGUCCAAAUGUUGUCUUGUCCCCUAUCAAAUCACUCAAAAGAGAUGUGUCCGUUUCUAUCUUUUACUUUUGUUCCCUUUCGAUUUAUGUUGAUAUGAAAUGUUUCAUUCCUCGGUAAAUCAGGUGAAUAAUAAUAUGGAUUUAGUUUAUAUACAUCCACCAAUAGUAUAAACUUUAUAAAAAAAAUAAUAGUGUACACUUUAUAAACUUUCUAACCAUGUAUAUUUCAAGAUAUGUUAUUUGAACAACCAUUUAUAGAAUAACUCUAUAAAAAAGGUAAAUAUUGACACAAAAAUUAAAGUAAUAAAUAGAGAAAGUAAAAAUAAAAUAGUAUCAGAGAAAAUUGUCACAAAAUAGCUGUAUAAAUAUCAUUUCUCAUUUCAUAUAUAUGAUGUUAUUUUUAAAACAUGGGAUCAAAACUUCAGUUUGUUUUCUUAAAUUGGAGGCCAAAAAAAGCUAAAAAAAUUAUAUAACUCUUUUCUUUUUGUUGAAAAAAAAUUACCAGUGUAACUCUAGUAAUUAAGAAAGAGACUUAUGCAAAGGAUAAUUUUUUUUUCAAGGAAUAAACUUAUAACUUUUCAUUAGAUAUCAAUUAUGUAAUACAUGAUGGUACAUCAAUAAAGACAUGAAGGAUAGCUCGAAAUGUGGCUAUCCAUGCUAAAUCAUGAGUGACCUUAUUUGUUUGUUGUCUAAUAAACUCGCUAUGAGAGUUUUGAAAAAAAUAAAUUACAACAGUGUUUGCAGACCUCCAUAAUAGCCUCAAACUCCAUUAUAUCUAUGCUACCUCUCUUAAAGUAGUCGGCAACCUUCUUCAUAUCCACCUCAAAGUCUAACAUUUGCCAGUUGUAAUUCUUCGAUGCAAUAACAUGAUAUUGCCCCAUCGCCUACCUCGUAUCCACUGAACAAACUCGUGAAAACCAUUAAGUUUUAGCAAGAACAUACACACUCGUGUCAUCGCGAAUGCACAUACUGGUGCCUACUCUGUUGCAAAGGCAUAUUGUUUUCAUUCAACACGAAUUCAUAUCCUUUAUAGAUCAACCAAGAGAAUGCAAAGCUAUAUUUAGGAAUAAAGACCAAGGGAAUUCAUAUCUUUUUUUAUAUCUUUUUUAUGCAAAGGAUAACUGUUUUCAUUCAAAAUGAAUUCAUAUCUUUUUUGGAUCAACCAAGAGAACGCAAAGCCAUAUUUUGGAUUGGAGACAAUAAUCUAUGUUUCCAUCAGGCUACGACAAUCCUUUCUACUUGAAUGCAUUAUGACAUUAUUUCUUUUUCUUUUACGGUUAUUAAAAAAAUAUCAAGCAUGCUUUAAUCCUUCAAAAUUAAGUCCUUUAUCAUGAGAGUUUGUAUGCAGAUAUGUGACAAAUUCAUCUAUCUUAAUUAUCAUCAAAUUCAUCAACUAUAAUUAAUAUUCACUUAACAUUGCACUUUGUUUUUUACAUGUUGUAGAUAAUCCAAAAAUUGAAAUUUACAGUCUGACAAUCAAUUAGAUGCAGAUGUGUUAUGAAGAGAGACUCACUUAGAGUACACAUACUGUUAUUUCCACUUUUAUGUAAUUCUGUUAAAAUCUCUAGGUUCCUGUGGUUCUUGCAUAUAUGUUUGUUUCUGUUCCCAAUUUAUGAUUAAUAUAUUUGAAGUUGUAAUGCUGCAAUAUUAAUAUAAUAUAUUUUUUUUCUCCACAUCUUCAUUCCAUAUUUCUUUAGUAACAUCCAAUCCAAAUAUAUUAAGAUCUUAACAGUCUUAUGUAGGAAAUUAUUCCUUCCUACUUGUUCAUUUUUAUUUCCUGUUUCAGUUUUUUUUUUUUUUUGGUAAAGGAAAAGUAAAACUAGCUUAUCAUAAUUUUCCAUUUAUGACUCUUGCUAUAUAAGAAAGGGUAAAAACUACUAUAAUUUUAAGAAAUUAUGUAUUUUAUAAAGAAUAAAGAAUAAAAAGUUGAGCCGAAAGCCAAAACUAGUCGCCCUUUAUCUCUUCACCAUAAUAUGAAAGAAACUGUUGGGUAGCACUCUCACAUUCCACACCAUUUUCUAUUUUUCUCCUUGGAACAUGUUAUCAUUAUUUUAUUUUAUUUUGUCAAAAAUAUGUUAUCAUUCUUGAGUACAAAAGUUAAUAACCCUUGCCUAAAUUAUUACAUGACAUGGACCCAUUGUUGGAAAAUGGAUGGAUCCAGCCAUACCUAUCCAUCUCACUCCAACACUCUGACCACGAUGCUGUCCCAUUCUUUGUAAAGAACUUCGUCUUUUUUUUCAUAUGCUUACACGUGAUUUAAUAAUAUAAAUUAUGAAUAGUGCACAAUCAUUGAAUUGAUUUGUUGAGGCGUGGGUCUUUUGAAAGAACAUUGUCUAUAUAAGAAAUAAGACCAAGGUCAAUAAAGAGCCCCCUUAAAAAUAAUUUUGAUUUCCAACCAUUUUUAAAAACCGAAUUUAGAAAUUUAUUUUGUCAAGCAAUCGUAGAUUAUUUGAGUCAUUUGAAAAAAGCGUCAAAAGUUUGAUUGCUAAUUGUAAAUACUCCUAUAUCAUUAUUCAAAAAAGUGAAAACUAAUUAUAUAUUUGUAAUACUGUAUACAUUUUUUUAUGAUAAAUAAUAUAAAGAAGUACGUAUACAUUUUAGUUCAUAAAAAAUAUAUUAGAUGAAUACAAUGAUUAAUUUUUCUAAUUGGAUUUAAAUUCUAAUUGUAAUUAUCUACAACAUUCUAUCCGAAACUACUUGAUGUGAACUGUGAAAACAAAAUUUGCGGUUACAUAAAAAACAAACUAGAUUUAUAAAGUUAGACCGAGUUGUACUGAAGUUGAAUUGAAAUGUCACAUUGCUUAGAUUUUUAAGUUGUUGGAUGUAUUAAUAUAUUUGAACACCUUCAUAUUUUGAGUUAGUUUUUGAAAUUAUUGAGAGAAAAUUUUCACAAUAGCAAAAUUACAUUCACAUAAGCAAAAUCAAACAUGAAAACAACUUACAAUCUCAUACAAUGUUUGUAGAGGCAAAAUUAUAAACUCUCAAUUAUAAUUUUUGCACGAAAGAAUUGAAAAACCUUUCAUAACAUACAAUUACCUAAAACUCCAAUGAAUCCAAAGACUCAAGUUGCAAUGAAGAAAAACUCAAACCAACUUCUAUAUUUAUAAUAACUUUAUAUCUCUUUUUUCUUUUCACUACUCGAUUUGAAAUUUGGAUGAAGACUCACUUAGACACAACACUAAUUACAUCCAAACUCAUUUAACAUGCUAUCAAAGCAAAUUAAGGAUCACAAUAUGGGAAUUUGACUUAGAACCCACACUAUACAUAACGGUGGAUAUUAAAAUUUUAUUAGAGUCUCACAUUACUCAGGUUCAGAGACGGUUGAAUACAUACAUGUAUUUAAAUACCUUUAUUCUUUGAGUUGAUUUUUACAAUGAGAUUCAUGUUUAUUUAACAAGUUAUACGGUUGUUUCAAAGUUUAAAGUUCCAAAUCUCUUCCUCAAAACGAAAAUGUUUAAAAUCUCAAUUAUUUAAGUUCAAAUUCCCCACUGUGCCCUCAUGGAACCCGCGAAAUAUAGUUUGAGACUUAGUAAGUGAGUUGAAAUUUUGGCAAUUGAAUUUCCAUCAUCAUCAAGCAAUUUGGUACCAGUGUCGUUUUCAUUUUUCAUAGCUAUAACUUCUGAGUGGGAUUAGGAUCAUUUGAUGACUAUAAGUUCAUUGAUUAACAUUUCCCUGCCGUUCCUUCCAAAAUAAAAAAAAAACAUUUCCCCGCCGUAGUUAGCAAUACAUUCAAUUAUCCCUAAACAUUGAACUUAUAAGACUUUUGAACGACAUUUUUUGUUUGUCGUAUACUGGCGGUUAUCAACAACUUCGGCAAAAUUUAUUAAAAAACUUGAUCACUGCUCAAAACGAACAGAGAGACCGGUAUCAGAUAUUACAGAAUGAAUGCGUCGUAUAUAGGCGGAACACCUAAAAUCAACACCAUAAAAGACAUUAAACACCCAUCACCUAACCAAGAUCUACCUUAACACCUAAAGAGAACAACAAUCACCAAAACCAACUUCACCACCUAAAUCAAACUUCAUCAUUAAACGGCAACUGAAAACGAAAUCCAUAAACCCCUUUCGCUCGCUGCUCACCCCAAAAAACAUCCCUCUAAAUCAGACAACCUCUUCUCAUCACCUAAACUGAGCCGUAUUCAAAAAUGUUCUAUUCCAACGCUUAGUCAGCUUCCACCACCUCUCUAUCCCUGAUCCACCAAAGAAAACAUUAUAAUUCAAUGUUCGAUUAUUCCAAUAUCAUCCAUCUUAUCUCUUAUCUAUUACAGAUUUGUGUACUAUCAAAAAAUGUAUGGAGGAUUACUUAAAGUCAACUCGUUGGUUCUUGUGAUUCAACUUUGAAUUUCCACUUUGAUGUCUGGUAGUAUUAAUUUUUUUAAUCGUACUUCGUCUUGGUUGCCUAUUUAAUUAUUUCAUGACUCUAUUUGUAUAAAACAAUGCCCAGUAGUACUAGUUUUACUAUUUUUGCAAGUUUUUCAUGUGCACCUCACGUAUUGAAAUAUAAAAAAAAAAAAAAAAUUGAGAAAUCAAUAUUCGAUAUACAUUUUUUUCUUCUCCUAUGUCAAAUCAAACAAAAAAGAGAAAAAAAUGUAUUUUUUUUCUUUUCUUUAACGUUCACUUCUACCAACAACUAAAAAUUCAUCAACUCUCUAUUAUCUCUUUCUUCUUUUCAUUCGUUUGUGUGUCUUUCCUCUGACUUUUUUUCAUAUGCCAAACGAAGCAUGCAUGUACAUGUACUAUUGGUGUGGAGGUGCCAAGCUAUAGUAGAUGGGGAUUCAAUCUCCAAUUCAAUGUGGUCAAAAGUAGAGGGCCCCGUUAUAUAUGUAUGGAAAAGAACAACCUAUCAAUAUGAGCACCAGUAUCUUCCAUUAUUAAUUUCUUUCUCCAUUAGCUACAUACCUUGACUUACUAGAACCUUCAAUUCACCAGAAAAGAAAAACUCACUGUUAAUUCAAACAUGCAUUCACCAAGUUAAAGUGAAAUUUGGGAUGAUCGUAGUUAGUUUGGUUGAGAAACAAUAAUAUUGGAUCGUUAGCAGACGUGUGCCUAAUCACAUUAACUGGUCUCCCUCUCUCUAUCUCUCUCAAACAGCACCACUUGUCUUUUUGCGUAAGCAAAUAUUAUAAGGAUCUAGGUGUUUAGAGGCAGUUGAGGAAAGAAGCCGUUAGGGAGGCACUUUGCAUUUUCCUCUUUCUACUCUAGGCAAUUUUAGGCGGUUGCUAUAUAAUUAAAUGGGGAUCUUCGAAGCACAGACACAAACAAAUGUCGAACACGAAAAUAAAACGAACACUAAUUCAAUGGGAAGUCACUAUGCACUAAGGGAGGCACUAUGCAUUUACCUAUUUUAAAAUAUUAAUUCUUUUAUCUUUCAAGCAGGUUAGAGGUCAGAGCUCGCACACUUUAAAUAUGAAAAGUCUAAGAUUUGAACUAUAACCUAUGCAUAUAUUAUAUAAUAUUUUUACCGAUUGACUUAAGUUAUUUUUUAAACAUGAAUUAAUUCAAUGUAAAGAUGUUGGACAACAAGAACUUUUUUAUUCAAAGUAAAAUGUCGAUGCUACAAAGGAAUAGAUCUAAUCAGAACCCCACAUUCUUCAUAUUCGGUCACAAGAGAAGGAAACUAUGAUUAGAUAAAUGGAUGGAGGAGAUGCACCUUAUCAUAAUGUCACCUAUCCCAUCCAGAUCAAACCACAUGAUUUUUUUUUUUUUUUUGUCAAGUAGCCUAGUGGCUAGAGCUCACACAAUUAAAUUGUGGAGAAGUGGAGUGUCUGGGGUUCGAACCCCAGCCCCUGCAUAUAAUAUGCAAUAUCCCUACCAACUGAGCUAAGCUCACGGGGAUAACCACAUGAUUAUUAUUAGUAAAGAAAUGAUAUUUGUAUAUAUUUUAUGACAACUUUCUCUUUCAUAUUUAUAUUAUGUUUUUAUUUAUCUCUAUUGUUUUGAUUUUCAUAUCAAUGCUUAAUUAUUCUUUGUAAAUCUAUAAUCAACCAAACAGGGUGAGGUUUAACAUGGAAAAGGGAAGUUGUUUCCCAUGAUGGGAAAGUUGAUUUUAACCGUUUGAUUAAAUAAAGAGUACACUGUUAUCAUGUUCUCACAACACUAAAUUAUUUUGACACUCUUCUCCAACAAUUCUCUCUCCUCCGUGUCUCCCUCACCAACCAGUACCACAACCAGCAACUUCACAAUGUAUUCAUCUUCCAUUUCCAGAUCUUGGUCUCUGUUUAAUUUUAACCUCUAAGUUCAAUUUGAGCCCCUCUUGAAUCAGAAUAAAUCCAUUACAAAGAAAACCUUCAAUAAACUGAGACCACUUGAUGUUGUUCGGAGAACAAACACACUACUUGGAUCUCUAUCUCAUCUUUCGUUGCUUCCUCUUCAACCUCCUCAUAUGCUUCUUCUUCUUCCACUUGGCACACAUGGUUGUUGAAAACGUAUGAGAAUUUGAUGAGAGAAAUCCAUAUUCCAUUAUUAUUUUUAUUAUUAUCAAUAAUUUGUGGGUUUUUGUUAGCAAAAUUUACAGCAACCUCUCGAAUUUGUUGUGGUAUAAGUGAAUUGUUAGAAACUGCAUUGAUAUCCAAAUUGAAAUAAAUUUUUAUUUGCAGCAACCUCUUGAAUUAGUUGCAGAUGAUAAGGUUUUUAUUUGAUCAGUGGCAACAUCAUGAUGAUCCAUGUUCAGUAUAGUAGCUACUAGCUAGUUACAUUCAUAUAAUAAUAAAUUUUUAUGUGGGUAGCUAAUUUCAAUUAAUAUUGGAGAAUUCAUUGUGUUGUGCUUGCCUAUAAAUAAACACCAAAUGAUGAUGGCUCGUGUGUGAAUAACUUGGAUUUUGAAUUUGAAUUGAAUGAAGGUCUUAGCUCUAAACGUGUUUAUCAAAGUGAGUUAAGCAACAUUAAACAACAGAAUGAAUCAAUGGGUUUUAAAAAAUUGGGUUUUGAGAUCUGGUCGCACAAUAAAAGUGAGAAAACCGGAUCUGAGACAAGUGUGCGUCUCUUUAAUCUAAUGGUUAAAAUUUUUUUUCUUAUCAUAAAAAAUAACUUCUCUUUUCCAUACUAAACCUCACCAUCAAACAGUUGUUCAAAUAAUACAUCACUUAAUAUAAUUACCACCUUUGAACAGAACAGAAUGGCAUAAUAAGUGGGUCCCCUGUCACUCCUCUCUCAUUUGUUUAUAGGUACUACUACAUAGCAUAUAAAAAAUCUGGAGAGAUACUCUGUGCUGAAAAGACAAUACACUUCCUUGGUGAAGUGUCAACGCCGUUAGAUUUUCAAAAUGUAAUAAAAGUAGUUAACUUGUCUUUGUCAAACUAGUUAACCUCAUCCCCCCACACACCUUCUCGCUCUUCACUCACUUGCCAUUGCCACUUGCAAGUUAGGAAACUGACAGCUUUAAUUUUACAUUUCUGCAUUACUUCCUCCCUUUUUAACAAAAUUUCUAAAUUAGAGUCCCACAUAGAUUAGUUGAUGAGUUAAAUGAAGUUGAAAGAGCUUGAAGAAAGUCCAAUAUUCCAUACCAAAAACUAACAUUGUUUAUAAAAAAAUCAAAUUAAAUAAUAUUCUCUCCUGUCCUUAUUAUAUAAAAAAUAAUUUAUUUUUCAAAUUCAUUGUGUAAGUAAUGUAUCUAAUCUAAAUAUACUAAUUAUUCAAUGAAUCUAAAAAAAUCAAUUGUUUCUUAUUGGAGGGAGUAAUUAAAUAAACUUUACUAAGCUUAAAACAGGAACCCAGAUAUUUUUUGUGAACAUUAUGGUUCCAGUUACGGAAUUUUCGGAAUAAUAUAUUUACUAAAGCAUUGAGUUAGCCCAGUCUCAGAUGGAUCAACAGUCAACUCUUCAAUUUGAUGUGUUAUUAUGUGGCUAACAUCUAAUCCGCACCUAUAAAAAUUCCACAGUUAUUGCCAUCAGCUGUUGCACAACAUUCAUUUGUAGCAACAGUAAUUGCCAGAAUGAUUCUUCUUUAGAUGGAUCAUAUCUACACUGUUUUACCUAAUUUUAUUUUUGAUAAACAUCCACCACAAGAUGAAUUAUGUGACUAUGAUGCAUAUGACAGUCUAUUUCACUUUAAUGACUCUUAUUCAAUACAAGUACUAUAUACUAUAAGUAAUACCGUAAUUGAUAGGAAUUAAUAAUAACCUUAAAAUUAGAAAAUGACAUAUACAUACAAUCAUUUUUUUUCUAGAAGAAUUAAUAAUAAUUAAAAGUUUUAACCAGAAUGUGUUUGAAAACCACCGUUCGGGUUUGAUUUGGAUUGGUAAAUUGAAAUCAUCUCCUCCAUUAGUAGAUGAAAUAGUAGAGAGAUCAAAAUGGGUGGGUCCAACACAAAAUGGCUGAAGAUAAAUCACUGUGGGUGGCCACCGCAUCACCUCACACAAAUGGAGACAGGAAAUAAUGUCUACAGAUAAGAUGAGAUACCGGAAGAUAAGACAACAAUAAUUUAAUACUACUAGAGACACUCAUUGAGUAAAAAGAUAACAUUGAAAUUUCCAAGACUAAGCUGGGAAUUUCUUUCAUCCCAUUCUCAAUAACAUUCAUUUCCUUCUUAAUUCUGUUUAUUACUAUUCCCAAAAUAUAAACACAUAUAAACAUAUUUUUUUUAUAUAUUAUAGUACUACCCAAGAACAUAAUUAACAUAGUAAAUAUCAUAAUAUAUUUCUAUAAACUACUCCUCUAUGGUAAUUAGAAACCCCCCCAAUAAGAUGAAAAGGGGAAAACAAAGAAAAUUGAAAACAGAACUAAAAAACUCAUGUUUCAUUGGGUAUAAAUAUAUUGCAUAAAAUUAGAGAGGGUAGGUACUAUAGUUGUUGAACAAUCACCAUCACCAUGAACAUUGUUUGUUUGAUGAAUCACAUGACAUUGCAGCUGGAAGUGUUCUCAUCACUGAAAGCAUGUGAGUAAGGAUCUGGAGGAGGAUAAGGGUAAGGAGGAUACAUGUAAUUCACCUCAGGAGGUGGCCUUGCAUACAUCAUUGGCUGCUGAAAUCUUUGAUCAUUUUCCACCAUUGCAGCACGUUGUUGGUUCAUCAUUGCAGCAGCCAUUAAUUGUUGCUGUUGUUGUUGUUGUUGCUG